UACGUAGGGAGCAAGCGUUGUCCGGAAUCAUUGGGCGUAAAGCGCGCGUAGGUGGCUCUAUAAGUCCGUUGUGAAAGUCAAAGGCUCAACCUUUGAAAGCCGAUGGAUACUGUAGAGCUAGAGUCUGGAAGAGGCGAGUGGAAUUCCUGGUGUAGCGGUGGAAUGCGCAGAUAUCAGGAAGAACACCCGUGGCGAAGGCGGUUCUCUGGGACGGUACUGACGCUGAGGUGCGAAAGCGUGGGGAGCAAACAGG
rnacentral:rRNA from 1 species